AAAGAAAGAAAGAAAGAAAGAAAGAAAGAAAGAAAGAAAGAAAGAAAGCAAACAAAGGAAGGAAGGAAGGAAGGAAGGAAGGAAGGAAGGAAGGAAGGAAGGAAGGAAGGAAGGAAAGAGGGCAUUGCUUCAAAUCUGUUGGAGAUAUGUAAUUUAAAAAUCUCAUUGGAUAUUUCUAAUACACUACUAAUGAUACCUUAGAAACUGGCUCAAUGAUAGAGGGAUUUCUAAGCAGUGUAAUUUCUACAUUCGAUGAACAGCUCCAUGAAUAUGCAAUAUAAAGAAUGAUUGCAGCUAACAUUGUUUCUAAUAAGGCUUAUUCCAAUCUCUGGGUUGCUUUUAAUAAUCACAUAGUCAUUCAGAAGAUUUGUUCUCCUGCUCCAUUUUGAAGGCUGUUCUGUGCUUCAUAAAAUCAGUUCAUAUAAAACCACUGAGUUGAUUUUUCAUUUUGCCUUUUCUGGAUACCUAGGGAUACAAUUGCAACUUGUCAUUUAUUCUAUAUGCAUUUUUGAAAGAUAACAUUUUUUUGUAUUUUGGGGCUGUUGUAAAUAAAAUGCUGUAAUUACAUAGCUUAUAAACAACAAACAACUGUCACAUCCCAACCUAGAGGCUGAGAAGGCCAAGUAGAGCCAGCAGAGGUGGGUUCUAGUGUGAGCACACACUUCCUGCCUCACAGAUGAUGGUCUUGCUGUGCUUUCUCCUGUCAGAUGGGCAAAGGAUGUUCUUGGAGGCCUCUUUUAUGAGCACAAUAAGCCAAACCUGAGAGUCAGAGCCCUCAAUGUGAGCCCUUCACACAGGCUCCGCCACCACACACCCCCGUCUUGUGACUAAAUCUCAACAUAAUGGACUGGGAGAGUGGAUGGCACAAGGGUUCUGACUGUCACACCUGGGUGCGUGUCAUUCAAUAAGAGCAAUGAUGACUUGUUCCACCUAGAAAGUGCUCUGAAUAGAGAGGCAUCUCAAUGCAAUUUCUUCACCAUUACUCACUCAUCUUUUUGUGAUAUCACUUUCCUUUAUUAUCCAGAAACAUAAGUGGAGGAGGGAGAGCUACAGGGCAUGGAUCCACAGAAGAGGAAGUAGGAUAUCACUGUGAUAUAUUCUUUGUUUGUUUGUUUGUUUGUUUGUUUGUUUGUUUGAACUGAGUGUCAGAGAUCCUAGCAGGGUUCUACUCUAUGGACUGGAUGCCUCUUCUGUGAGGUCUUGAAUUCAUGGAAGUGAUUAAAAUCUGAUUUGGAUAGAUUAGCAUAUCUCAGAGAUUUCUAAUUAACUGAGAUUCUCUUCCCCUUGUCUUUUUUUCUCCCUCUUUCUUUUCAUUUUCAUUUUCAUUUUUUUUCUUGCCUUGAUUUUUGUUUUUAUUAAGUCAUUUUUUUUCUUUGUUAGGCAGAAUCUCACAUCAUAACCCCAAAUGACCUGUUACUCACCAUGUGGCCCAGCUGUCUUCAAACUCACCAGCCUCCUGCCUUAGCCUUCUAAAUGCUUGGAUUACAGGCAUGACCCACCAUAACUGGCUUUGUUUUAGUUUCAGAGAAGAUGAAACUGAUGUGCGUCAAAAAGUUAUGGAGGCUGGGAAGACCUAGAAUGUGGCAUCACUAUUUGGAAACCAUGCCGAUUACCGACCGAGCUCUCAAUGGAAAAAUGCAGUCGGCGUGAACCACGCACGAACACAGCAGAGAAAGAAGAAAACACACACCACGAGGAACCCUAAUAGGACAAUACAUUAUAAGUCACAGUGCUACGGAGAAACCCAGUAGCCACAUGGAAGCAGAGACCAUGCAUAUGCAUCUACUCCGCAGCUCUGUGAAUGUCAGCAGCUCCCACGGACUGGAGAUCCCGUGAGAUCCCGUGAGAUCUCACCCAUAGCCUCAUGGUACAUCCACUUGGUGUGCUGGGAGAGUCAGGAUGAGGACCUGAGAAGAACAGCAGCUUGAACCUGACUUCAUUUAACAGCCCACUGCCCUCUUGCCAAGAACCCAUCACAGACCUUCCCAGAAGAGAGGGAUGAGCCUCACCUAUGAAUAAGUCCUCAGAAACUCAAAUUUGAUUCUAAUGGAUUGUUUUCUCAGAAAGACUGAGCAUGUCCCCCCACAUCUCUGUCAUUUCCCACAGUAGUAACCUCUGCAGAUGCCACAUAGAAAACAAAACAAAACAAAAAAACAUGAGGUUGGUGGGCAGAUAGGCAGGGUAUAAACAAACAGCCUUGUAACCCAGAAGCUGUGUGAUAUACAGUAAACUUCACAACACUGAAAAGAUGUCCUAUCUGUUAAAAUGGGGUAAUAACAACUACCCGAAUGUUUAGGAAUAGAACUUCAAUAAAUGAUACAUUUUAUAGUACAGCAGACCAUCCUGUAAAGGUUUCAUCCUUCACUGUGGUGAUAAAUAUCCCAAACCACAUUGAAAAGCAUUGCAUCUACAUUUAUCUACACUGUAACUGUACUGUAAAUCAUGGGGGAGGGGAGAAUCAUAAAAACACCACCUGUCACCGUGUCAUUAAAGCAAGUUGGAAGUGAUACUUACAGAAACACAGCAAGAGCACCCCCAGUCACACAGUUCAAUCUCUUAGCAAGCGUUUUCUUUCUAGCCCAGUGGUUCUCAGUUUGGAAUUUUUGGCACUGCCUAGAGAUAGUUUUGUUGUUAAAACUGAGAAAAGAGCCGGGCGUGGUGGCACACGCCUUUAAUCCCAGCACUCAGGAGGCAGAGGCAGG
rnacentral:lncRNA from 1 species